CCGAAGCCCGCCGAGUCUGAAUUGGACAGUUCAGCAGAAGAGGGCUCACACAGUCAGUGUUUUGAAAAAGCUAAUCCCAGUCUUUCUACUUAACAUAAUUUUCAAUCCAUAUCCUUGGAAAAAUAUUUUUGGAAAGUAAAUCCAGUAUUUAGAUUUAGAAACCAAAGUCUCAGUAUUCAGUGUAUAAUUUAAAAGUAUCUAAAUCAGAGUUUGACAAACUCUCCACCAUGUUGGCACCAAUGUAAAGCAUUCCUAUGUGCACUGUAGAAUGUAGCCAUCUUGGAUAUUUUUUUUUUUUGCGUGUGUCAAUAUGUUAAACCUUUGUUAAACUCUAUCGACAGUAUCUGUGGCUUUGGGUAGUGGUUGGUAUUUUCUUGAUUAGGUGUUUCUGAAUAAUAAGCAAUGGAUCAGUGUUUCUUUGGCAACCUUGUUGAAAUUUUGUUUCAGGAGAUUCUGUUUUGUUCGGCCGGGGGUGGGAUUCUCAGUUGCAGCAGUUCGACUUGUGCCUUAUGUUUCUUUCUCUCACAAAUUACCAUUUGACCUGAGGAAUAUGAAGCGGCAAGGAGUGCCCCAGACAACGACCCAAAAUGUUCAUGAUUGUGCAAAUGACACGUGUGUCUUAUUCACGAGAACCCCGAAACUGCCGGCGUCCCUUCACAACUUCCAUAGUUAGCAUCUUCUGUCGCUGGACACUGCUGUCUGGUGUCUCCCAGCUUCCUCCUGGUUUAUUUUCUGACUCAUAUCAUCAUAACAGAGGUAGAAGGGCUGGACUGAAGGAGCUAUUAUAUUACUGUUUUAAAUCCGCAUCAUAUACCUACCUACAUACUGCUAUAGCAGCGGAGGUGGACAGUGUAUCAGAUGUGUCUCCAUCCAGUGAUAUUGAUUGUACCCAGAGUCUUAGAUAUAUAAUUAAACACCACUUACUCUGCCCAGUAAAUAAUGAGAGAUAUAACUGAUUAUAUACUUGGCAAAGGAGGAACAGCCGAGAUUUUUAUGGAAAUCACGUUCUCGUACAUUGUUGUUUGCUAUGCAUCAGGCCAUGCCUGGCAGUGACCUUAAAAGGAAUUUCUGUUCUGGGUCCACCCUUCGACAAAGAGAAAUAAGUGGUCUUAUUUACUCAAUAAAUUGAAUUCAUGUAUCAAGAAUUGUGAAUAAUACCAGUAAUAAUUUGUAAUAAGUUGUGCAGAAAGUGACUAUCAUCUCAUGAAAACUAUAGUGACUGCAGCUCUAUGCAGUACAGCCUUAACCAGAUGUAAAACUACAGUAUUAAUGUGUCUGUUGUAAAUAGUGUUAGUAUGUCCAUCCUGCAUGGAUACCAGUUAGACUCAGCUAUGCUGGGACUGUCUCCUCAAACCACAGUAGACCUUAUCUCUCUAUCAAGGCUGCUCAAGACCCAAGGAACUAUUCAGAAAAAUGACAACUUCAAGUGAUUUUAAUAUUUGACAAAUUCCACUGUCUAUUGACAGUCAUGGCUCCGGCCGGCUAAAUUACACCGAAUGCUAAAACGAUUUGCCUUACCGCGCUUUUUAAAAGUUGAGGAUAGAAGCCCCAACGUCGUGCACUCGACCAAAAAUAGGAAAUCCCGGCUGACUUGUAGCUACUUUGCCUGCGGCCAGCUUGGGCAGCGCCGUAGCAGUGAGUAAGUAAGAGGGUUGUUUUGUUCGGGGAGCUCUCAGAGGAAAUAGCCAAAAAUACACUCGCCCUGAUGUUAGUGUGCGUAACCUUGCUUUGCUAGGUGUUGUCUGUCCUGUCUGUCUCUCCUACCAGCCAAUGCUUCGGUGCCUUCUAACACUGACAAGUAUUGUCCUAAUCCAGAGCUUUCACUCUACACAGAGACCGCAGAGGGGAUGUGGUUAUGUAUAGGGUUCAAGGUCACUGUUGUUGUGAUGUACUUAGCAGCCAAUCUGGACCGGUGGCUACCGGAGGCCCCUAAACACUGAUGUAAGGAUCCCUUACCUCGUCUUUGGCUUCAGCACCAAGGGCGGCGCAGCAGUGUUUGACCUUACGUUAGCGGUGUGGGGUGUAUUUCCUGUAGUGUGCAUUUACCACUUCAACACAGCAACUAGGAUGAGAGAUAAUGGCACCUAAGUUUUGAUUUCGCCCCUCGUUCAAUAUGUAGCGUGCUUUGAUGUGCAUCCUACACAUGGAGCAAGGGGGUCGUGUGGAACAGAGCCUCAUAAAUGUACAUGUAGUCAUCCUCACAGCAUACGUUACCAUUUCUAAGCUAUAAUGUUCGAAGCUGAAAGUGCAGAUGAAGCAUUGAGAAAACCAAUAAAUGUACUUCUUUAGAGCACAAAGUGAGCUCUUCUAACAGUGUGGGCAUAUUUUAGUUUGUAUACAUAGUGUAUUUGAGCCUUUUUCUAGAGUGGGUUUCCUUUAUUUGCAUGCUCAACUUGAUUGUAUGCAUAAAUAUUUUAGACAAGCCGAAAGUUGAAUUUCAAUUGAAUUUGAAGGAAGACUUGUACAUUGUUUGAUAUGUUUCUUUUUGUAAUGAAUUUUUUAAUUCAUGAAACAUUUUUGUACAUUGUAUGAAUAUUAAAAACUGCAAAUAUUUGACAUAUAGAGUAAAUACUAGAGGCGCAUGCAUAUGCAUAUAUCCUUCACAGUAUGUAUGUGUAAAAUGUACACAUAUAUUUUGUAUUUGCAUUUGCUGGCAUACAGAUAUGUGUCUUAAGCACAUAUAUACCUGUAAUAUAUAUGUAUAUCCAUGUCUGCUGGCAUGCUUUUGGUCAUGUUUAUCUUUCAUGAUCUUGUAGGUUUCUUUUUUUUUAAUUAUUAUUUCUCUUUCCUCAAAAAGAAAGGCUCAUUCUUUUGCUACCCUUCUGUUGG
ensembl:lncRNA